AGGGAUGACGGGCGGGUGCGGGGACCAAUAGGAGCGAGGCGGGCGCUGAACGCCGUUCAAACGCCGUCGGGCGCCGCGCGGUGCGUGGGGUCGCUCCGCCCGGCGGGGUCAGGUGAGCGGGGCGCCGCGCUGCUCGGUCCCGGUGCAGCCCCGCGGGCACCGAGCCCCGGUGUGAGGGCACCGAGCCCCGGCUCAGUGGCACGCUCCGUGAAACCUCCGUACACACCGCGCCCCCCAGCUCCGGGCUCAGCCCCUACUCUGCACGCUCAACCCCUUUGCGCGCUCUGAGCGUUGGCUGCUGCUCCGGACGGGCUCCAAUCCCGUCGCUUUUUCCCCCAAAUCGGGAGCAGGGCCGCGUGUGGGGCGUGACUAAUCAAGGGCUGCUCAUUAAGGGCUCCUGCCCUCCUCCCUCUAGCCAGCUGAGGGGUCCUGUUCUAAAGGGCAUCCGAUGAGGAGAGAGGCUUCCCUCCCUUACUGCUCUCAGCUGUGCGAGAUGGGCUGAACGACACUGAGCGUCGCUGAACUUCUGUUGGAUCCUCUUGCUCUGUCUUCCUCAUCUGCGAAAUGAAAAAUAAUCGCAGUCCUUCCCAGAGGUGGCUGACAGAAAGAAAACAGGUUUGUUAUGAAAGCACCGGGUCCAGCCUGCCCUGCUCUGUUACCUGGGAAGCUGUGAAGGAGGCGGCUGUGGUUCAUGGGGAGGCUGCAGCUGGAGGCGUUGGCUCAGAGAUGUGCAAGGAGCACCGGGGCUCUGCAUGGCACAGCAGGUUUGGUGCGGCGUUGGUCCAGGUGUUCCUCCCCACCAAAGGCCUUGAAGAGGAUGAGCUGCCUCCGUGUGUUGCAGCCCAGGCUGGGUAUUGGUUGUGCAAUGCAGAGAGCAUCUUGUGCCUCUGUGCUGGUCUGCGCCCUGCUUCUUCCUUGGCACCUGGAGUAAGAGUGAAAUUCAAAUGCACAAAGAGGAAUCCAUGUGAGGCACCCUAGGGGCAUGCUUUGCCACUGAGAUGUCUCAUGGGGCAGGUGGCAGGGCUGCUUUGUGCCCCGGUGCUGCUAUCAGGCACAUUGCUGUGCCCUCGGUCAGUGCCUGGCUCAGGGUGCCCUGACUGUGGGUGCUGCACCUUGGGCACUAAUGCAGUGGGAAGACAACAGGAUUUCCUUCUGAAGCCUGACACCCAGGACUUUCCCCACUCAUUAGGACUGAAGAUCAAAAAAAAAAAAAGAGCAGGAACGGCUGGUGAGGGCAUGUCAAGGAGGCAGAAUUGGGAAAGGGAGUGCUCAGUGCGUGUCUCCAGCCGGCUCUGACUCACCAACACGUGCAGGUACAGCCCCGCUGCCGGCUGCAGCUGGGUUUUGAGUUGAGCCUUGCUCACCAGAAAAGCCAAGAGGGUUUGCAGAGACAGGAGGGAAGCACAGGAAAGGGAGCAGCGAUUGCAGCUGGCUCCUGUUUGCUUUGCAUGGCCCCAGUUUGUGUCGUCCCCCUCUCUUGCCCCUUACAAGUUGCACCCCCCAGGAAAGGGCCUAACUUUGGUGAAUUGAGAGCUGGGAUCUGGCCCCACUGCUGGCAGGUUUCAGGAUUAGGCUGCCUCCAACACCAAAGCCUCACUCCAUCUGCCAGACAGCACCCCAAGGGGCGGGCGUGGAGCUGGGGCUCUGCCGCAGAAGUAGGAUGGGAACAUGUUCUGGUCCUGCCUGUCUGGUUUAGUGCUCCUGGCUGGGGCUUGGGUGCUCCAAAGGGGAGCUUGGUCUGAGAUGCGAGGCUGUGACUUAUUAUAAUUCAAAACUUCUAAAGCUGCAGAGCUGUAACUUGGGCCCAGAUUCACCUGAUAGCCCCAGUCUGCCAUGGCUGGAGCAGCGGGCACAGGAUUGGAUGCGAUGCUGUAGGUUUGAAGUCAGAGCAGUGGAAGGGUGAAGCUGGUUGCCUUGGUCACCCCCAGAUCACGACUCCAUUCCUUUUCUUUGGUAUGGCGUGUACUCAUCUUUCUGGAGAGCAAUGGGCAUUUUGUGAGGCUGUGCACAGCCAGACAGGUCCUACCAGCAAUGGGGGACCUGCUCGGUCUGUUUGUCCUUCGCUGCUGCAGUAAGGUGCACAAAGCAAAAUUCCAGCCCCUGGUACCUUCCUUUAUCCCGUCCCACUGGGGCAGGCACCCCUGCAUUGCCGCCCUCACCAUGAGUGACCCUACCAGGAGAAGGGUCCUUGUCCUCAGGAGAACAAGUGGUUGGGCCACCACCCGCUGCAGCGGUGUCAGCUGGGGUUUGUCUUCACCUCACCUCCUUCCCGGCCACGCGUGGCCACCACAAAUCCUUGCCCACUUGUUGCAGGCAGAGUGGGGGUUGGCCUCAUGUUUUUGCCCCUCUGAAUGUCACAGUUCACCUCUCUUUGGGGAAUUUGCAGCCUUCUUCAGAGCAGAGAGAGUGCCUGGUGCUGCCCUUGGUACUGCGGCGGUGCCAGAUGCGGAGGGCUGCAGAGCAGCGCUGAGAGCUCCUAGCUCCCAUCCUCCUGGCAUAGGUACGUGCCUACCAGAGGGGAACGGUGAGCUUUGCUCUUCUUCUUGAUCCCGGAGCUGUGAACCAUGGAGUAAUGCAGGGAGGGAUGUGGGUGUUCUACCAACAGGGUGCAACAAAUGUGCUGGGUCCUGGUGUGAUACCCACCUGUGCUUUGUGUGUCUGCAUGCAAUGGGAGGCUGCUCUGCAAGUGCUGUGUAGGCAACUGCUGUCCCUGUGCUUAUGUGUGUUGCUUUGGGUGGAGUGGAGCCUGGUCCAUGCUGCCGGCAUAUGGCACAAGAGAGAGCUUGGCAGAUGGGCUGAAAUGGAAAGGGUCUUUUCCAAAGCAGCUGUUGAUGGAAAUGAGCCUUGCACAGUUCUGGGGUGGGUUUGAGGGUACAGGGUUGGGGAUGAUGCGUGUGGUGGAUGCUGAAUUUAGGAGAGCACCGUUUUGUUGAUGAUCUCCUUGCCCUGUGCACGAUAUCCACAGUUCACACCCUGGUCCUGGCUGUAUCUAUGAGCUUUGUGGUGUGUCUAUCUGUGCCCAUGCAAGGGAGGAGAUUCUUCCCCCCCAAGAUCCUCUUGCAUCCUUGAGACCUUUAAUGUUUCAUGCUGUCUAAACCAGUCCCUUCAGGGAAGGAGAUGGUUAAUUAGUGCUUUUUCCCCCCUCAAUGCCUGUGUUUCCCAGACCCCACUGGCUGGUGACCCCUCUGCGAGGUGUCUGUGGAGCUUGUUAUCUGUCCUGCACAGAUUACCCUGGUGGGAAGGGGAGGUGAUGCUGCAGAGGCUCCAGCUCACACUGUGAGUAUCUGCCAAGCUAUGGGAGUUCUUCCCACUCUGGUCUGGCUUGUGGAGGUGUUGGGGUUGUUCCUCGCUUCUGCCCUGAUCCUGAACGAGGUGGGGCAGUGUCCCCAAGCAGUGUUGGUCCUGAGAUGGUGCAGGACCUGGAGAGGUUGGCUGCUCAAAGCAGAAGGGGUGGAAGCAGCCUUCACCAUGGCAGCACCAGCAAACAAGGGGGAUCCUUAGAAGCGUUUAGGGCCUUCCCUCUGUUUCUCUGGGGGUUAUUCUCUCCUAAUGUCCCAAGGAGCUCAGAUUAUUGCAGCUGGGCUCUACCUGAAGCUAUAAUCCCAUUGAGGGGAAAAACUCACCCUGAGCCCCCUGCCACAUGAAAGGGAAUGGAGGGGAAGGUGGGGAGAUGGUGCUCCUCUUGCCAAGGGAAGGAAGAGGAGACUGCCCCUGAAGGUGAAGGAGCGCCAGGCUUGCCAGCAGACUGGCUGCCAUGCUUCUCUGUGCUGACGUGGAAGGGAAGCAGCUCUGCUCAUGCCAGGAGAGGUGGUGUACUGGGAGAGGAAUGCUCCAGGGUUAACCUCCUCCCGUGGUGCCUCCCGUGGCUGGGACAGAUCUGCCUCCUGCAGCUGGGGCGAGGGGAGGGAAGGAGGAAGGUCUUUGUGCAAUUGUUCAUAGAGAUCCAGUGUGAAAGGAGUGGGAUCACAAGGAUGCAGAGCAGGGCAUCUCCAAGGGGAAUCUGUGCACUACCUGUUCUGGGGCUUCAGGCGCUGAGCCCAGUGCUGCUGUGAUGCAGGGCUGUGUCCCUCAAAUCCCCCUUCCCUCUCCCCGUGGCUGAAGGUCUGCAGUAAAACUGAAAAAGCCCUCAUCCUAGAACUGCACCUUCUGCCAACUUCUCUUAUCAGACCCGUGCUUCUGCCUAGAGCCAGUAGCUGCAGGGAUGGAGAUGGGGGAACAGACUGCUGUUAAGCUGCUCUCUUGCCUGCAGCCUGUUUGCAUUCAUGAUUGCAUCCGUGCAUUAAAGUGCUCUGAGCUCCUCGUUACCAAAGUGCGGACUCUGAGUUUUAACGAGCCACUCGUGGGAGUUGGGACCAGGAGAGACAGAACGCCGUCCUGCUGAACCGAGGCAGAGCCUGACAACAGGCACCGCUGCCUGGAAACGGUGGGCAAAGGCUUUAUUGACCACUGGAGGUCACUUUUUCAAUAAUGCAGUACAAUCCAACUUUAUUUUGUCAGUACCUUUCAUGCAGGCUGCUCCCGAGCUGCUCAGCAGAUGCAGCGCAACGGGAGGGGAGAAACAGCGGUUUUCUUCCAGCUGGGGAGAUGGAGGCUGCUCGGCAGCACCGGGUGCAAAGCAGAAGGCUCUUGUGCUUUGGUGGAGAGCUACAGGGGAGGAGAGGAGCAGCAAAUGAAGCAGCCUGGCUGCUGCUGCUGCCGCUCCCUGUGCUGCAAAGGCACCUUCAGGCUCUUCAAAAGCAAAUGAGCCUUUUUGGCCCUGGGGUGGCUGGGGGAAGGCAGGAGGGUGCUGGGGUGGACAGCCAACGUCCCUCAGCUGGAGAGAGGCUGAAGUGGGGGCCCUGCAGUGGGGUGGAUGGGUACCCAGCUAACUGUGUCUGGGUGCUUCUCUUAGAGGUUCAGGAACAUUGUGACUUGAGGUGGUGAAAGAGCUGGGAUGUGGGCAGGGUCCGAGCAUUUGAGGGGCAGGAAAUUGUGCCUGAAUUGCACUCCUUUGCUCCCUGCGUGGUGCUGGGCUGUUCCUGGGAGGGGGCUGCCCCUGGAUGGGGCAAACAGCCAUCAGGAGCUGGGGAUGGGGGCUGUGCAGAGAAAGUCAUUUGCAGGACCCCCCCAGAAUCCCCUGCAGGAGGGAGCAGGGGCAUCUGGGGCUGUGUGGAGCCGGUGGCUGCUGCUGUUGCAACUAUACUGGGGGACUUCUGCAGCAAAACCCAUUAAAAAGCCCUCGCUAAGGAGUCGGCAGCAAUGGCUGAUGCAGGAGCUCUUCUGUUGCAUUGUGUGCUCCCCUUGCAUGAUGACGCAUGGUUUGCAAGUCUGGAACUGCUGAUAGGAACAGACCAGUGGGCUUGGAAGGAGCUUUGAGGGCCACAUUCAGAGUCUCGAGGUCUUUCCUGUUCAGAGCUGUGCAGGACACGAGCUCAUUUGGUGUGCGCGUCCUUCUGUCCCUCUGAUGUGUGCUCCAUAAGCCCCACUUCUCACUGCUUGUUCAGAUGCUGCUGUGUCCACCGUCACCGAAAGGAAUGGAUUCCGUCUUUUAGCUAGCUUGCUCUAUCACUCCCCUUUGAGAAGUGGGAAAGGAAUAACCUGUUUCUUCUACUCCUCACAUUUGAAUGGGAACGUCAGUGUUGCACUUAGAGCAGGGACGUGCUGCACGCAGGCACCGCCACGUGCGAGGGCUGUGAGAGCUUAACUGCUGCAGCAGAUGGGACUUGGAAGCCACGUCGGAGCAAAUAUUUGAAGAUCCAGUUUUAUAAAGCCACUUUUUGGCCUAUAAACCGCCCGCCCCACGGCUCCUGGUGCUGUUUGCUGUUCCUGCUGCUCCGCCGCGCUCCCGUCCGGUGAGACGUGCUGCGUGUGCUUGGCACGGGGUUCUUCUCCUUUUCCCCAGCCUCGGUGCUUUGUUUUAUGCAUUGCUUUGUUUGUUGAUGGGAUUUUCCUUCUCUCAGCAGAGUGGGAUGGGAAGUGACUGCUACUGACCCUAUGGGGUUCCUGGGCUCAGGCAGACCCCCAGGCUGGCGAUGCGCCCAUCCUGGUGGAUGUCUUCCCGCUGACUCUAACAAGUCUCCAUGAGAGGCUGGGAUCCCACGUCCCCUUUCUCUCCACGACACAUCAGGUCCCAGCAAUGAUCCUCAUCCAUCUGUACGGCGCGGAGCGGGCUCUGGUUUGUGCUUCCCUUCCUGCAUUGCCUUUCAGCCUUGGGACCCGCAGAGCCAAGCACUGAUGUGUCCGCUAACACAGGCAGCUCCGCUCCUGAUCAAGCGAAAGAAAAAUAAUUAGCCCCUCGGAUUGCAGCCUGGAUGCAGCGGGCCGGAUUCCUGCUCUCUGCCUCAAGGUUGUGACUUCUCGCUUGCAUCCGCUGUGAGAGCACGAUGAUGAUGGGGCACCGGGACUUUUUGGGAUAGACCCAAUGUAAUCUCCCCGUGCUUCCAUUUCCACCUCGUACAAAAUCCUGCUCCACCUCUCCCAGGAGACCUGCAGUGCUGCGCGGCGCUGUCUCUGCGGUGCUUUGAGAUCCGCAGAUGCGAGUGGUUCCUGAAGCUCUGAAUAGCACUGAACUCCCUCUGCAGUGGAAUUCCAAAGCCAGGGGAAACUAUUCACGACUGUUAAGAAAAAGCCGUGUUGGUGUGUUGGUUGAACCCAGCGUUACGCCCUCUAAUUAUGUAGUGGUGGCCCUGGCUGCUGGAGCGACUGGUGACAACGGGAUGGUUGCGCUCGGCUGGAGGGAGCGGGGCUGAGAUUUGGUGCCUGAUGAGAUCAAGGGGCCUUUGAUUUCAAUGGGCAUUGAACCAGGCACUGCCAUAUCAAACGGGCUGAUCAGAUAAUAAGUGCAGCUCUUCUGGCAUAGAUUCCCGCCGCCGCGUUGGGGCAGGCAGUGCAAAUUGGGCAGCCAGAGGAGUGAGCAGGCAUGCCAAAUUGUUCCUAAUGAAACGGGAUGUCCCGCAGCAGGACGAUGCAAAGUGGUUGUGCGUCUGGGGUGCCGUGUGGGUCACCUCCAGGCUGGGAUGUGUCCUCUCCCACCUUGUUCCUGGGCAGGAGGGUGGCUGGAGGAGCUGCCAAGGGAGAGGGAUUGAUGGGGUGAUCUUGAAUCCUUAAUCUCAUGUUUCAGGGCUUCUCCAGGCGUUCUGCAGGGAAAGAUGAUUAUUUUUUUCUUUGCAGCCUUCGGUGUAGCAAUCAGGCACCUGAAAUUGUUUCUGCUGUCUUCUAAACGGGGAGAUUGGGCACAGCAAGAGGCGUGCUGUGAAGGGAGGGGUGUGCUGGUGCUCCUCGGGGAUGCCGCAGCCUCAGGAUGCUGUUUGGGGGAUCCUCGAGCCUUCUGAUCCCAAACUUGGCUGUGUUGGCAGGAGCCCUGUUCUGCAGCGUGGGCCACGGUCACUUUCCCAGCAUCCUUGGGGGACGUCGCCCUGCUCCUGCAGGCACACGAGAUGUUUGCAGCAUCCUUGAUCUCUCCUGCUCUUCACCCGGGGCUCAUCAGCACUGCAGUUCAUGGUCCUUUUUGUUCAUUUGGGAGCACCCGUUGGCGAGGUGCAGUGCAUAUCUGCAGGGAUUGCUGUUGCGCCGGGGGUGCUCUGCUGUCCUUGUCCAGCAGUUGGGUUUUAAGCCAUAAGCUCCCGUUCUGAAGCUUGUUUUGUUUUGUUUCCCCGUGGUUAGGGAAAAUGGCAGCGACUGCGCAUGAUGUCUAAGCAGAGUGCACCCAUCCCGCCCCACCGCCGCGCUCUGUGGCUGCAGGAAUGUUAUCUCUGAUGUCUCCACCUGCCCCCAUAAACUUGGCUGGAAGUGGGUCAGUAGGUUUAGAAGUUCUACGGAGAUAUGUAUCAGCCUCAUACCUUAAAAGAAGCUGAGUGAAGUCAAAUCCAAAGCAACAAUGAAAACUUGGAGAGGAACGGAGGGAAGAGGCAGUGGAUUAGCAGACAGAGAAAUCCCCGUGGGCCCUAUUGAGUGUUUUGCCAGUGUUAAGCACUGAGUAAAAUAUAGUGCUGGAGAGAUCAGAUCGCUGGGUAUUCCCUUUGGACGGGGAGAUCCUGGGUUGAAUACUUCUUUGGUGAAUCAUCUUCUGGAGCUAUCAGCACAGGGAUCUGGCACGAGGCUCUCACUGCAGGAUGUGGCAUUGCUCGCAGGCUGAAACUGCUUGGAGAAGGCACGCAAAUGGCACCAUGCAGCUCUCUGCUGCUAAAGCUCUGGAUGCUUGGAUACAACAUGUGGGAUGCCCUGAACACCCAGAGCUGGGGCUGAUAGCACGGAGUGCAACCAGAGGGUUUCUGCUGCUCUCUGCAGCAGAACAUGGGGGAGAACACCCACAAAACCUGCUUCACCAAAGCAUCACCUGAGCUUGGAAUGCCUGUCACAAGGCUCUUCUGAGACUUGAGCUGCUAGAUCCUCCUCUGUGAACAGAGACAUGGGUGACUGGCAGACUAAAAGACACAGGAGAUCAAGACAAAGGGAAGAACCAAUUGUUAAGUGACCCAAAUGAAAGAUGCACGUGUGGCACAGGGAGGUGUUGGGCCAACAGAGGAGAAGUCCUUCGAGGAAAGACUCCAAAGGAGACAGUCCAGUUAGAUUUUUGCUUGGCUUUUUCCUUUCAUCUAUCAAAGAGAUACUUCCAAAGUGAGGAGCAGACACCUGAGGGAGCACAGGGGCCAGCUUCGUUUGCAAGGAAAGCACGAUGGGUGGUUGAGGGCUGUGUGUGUGACCUUCGGUGUGUUGUGCCCAUGGGUUGUCCUCUCCCUGGAGUCAGGCAGAGGAACGUGCUCCCUUUUUUGGGAGCUGCCUGUCAGCUGUAGCUGGGCCUGGGGACAUCUUGGCUGCGUCCUUCGUUUGGGAUUGAGGAGCAGCCGACAAUCUGUGUGGAUAGCAUGAGAGCUGCUAAUGCUGUGUCUGAAAAUCUGCAGAGUUGCUGGGAGGGGGAAUGGGUUUAAAGUUGUAUUUCCUCCAAUAAAUCAGCACAGCCUGGGCCUCCCCACCCCCAUCGGCACCUGUGUGCAUGUGUUGGAGAGAAAAUCCAAAAGAACGUGAGGACUCUGCGUUACUGCUCCCUGCUCAGGGCUGUCCAGCCUCGCACCAGGGCAAGUGUUGCUUAAACACCAAUAAUGUUGUCUACAGCAGGAAGCAGAGCAGGGCUCAUCCGCACUGGGCUGCUCUGCUACUUCUGUGCUCCGAGUACAAACAGCAAGCUGUUCCUGCGCGUGGGCUCCCGGCGCUGCCAGCAAAGCUAUUCUCAUGCAGGAGAGAAAAACGAGCUGUGCAAAAAGCAGGCAUGUCUCGUAUCGCUAAGCAUCACUCACCAUGUCAGGCGGUACACGGUGGCACCGCUGCACGGGGCUGGUGUGGGUUCGAUGUGCUGGAUGUGGCAACCCCAGUGCUGCCUGUGGGGUUGGCAGGGAAUUACCCCAACUGGUGUGGCUAAAUCGUGGAAUCUCAGAAUCAUUUCAGUCGAAAGGGAUCCUUAAAGGCCGUCUGGUCCAACUCCCUGCAGUGCUCGGGGACACCCACAGCUCCAUCAGUGCUUAGAGCCCCGUCCAGUUCUGACCUUGGAUGUCUGCAGGUACAGGGCACUGCCACCUCUCUGGGCAAUUGGUCAGAGUGGUCCUGGUGGGAUGCUGCAGCAACAACAGCAGGAGCAAAGUGGGUCGCAAUGAUGAGACACAAUGAAGGACACAGCCCCUUGUAGCGCUGAUAUCGGAAGCGAUGUCCCGCUGCUGCUCCCAAGGCAUUUUCAGCCCUUCUGGCCCAGCAUUGACCGUGGUUUAGAGGACUUAGGUUGCUUUUUGGGCUUCUUUAUUCUCUAACUUUUUUUCUUGGGAGGUGCUUGAAGCUUGCUGAGGAUGCUGCACAAGGAAGGGAAAUGUUUCAACCCUUUGCUUGCAUUUUUCAGGGGGAAACUCUUGGGACUUUCAAAAGCAACACUGACGCUGACCUGCUGGAAAAUUUCAGCUGCUGGUGGAGGUGGCUGCGUGUUGAGCUGCGUCUGGGCAGGGGAUGCCGGAGCAGCUCAGCACCAUUUCUCAAGGGCUCUGUUUUUUGGCAGAGCCAAGCUGAUGGGACGCUGAGCUGUAGGAGGGCUGGAUUGUCCCCGAGCACUCCCCAGGUGCCGCUAUCUCCUGGUGAUCUGUGAUCUGCUCAAGUGUGUCCGCCUGGAUGGCAGCCUGGGCUGGGACACACUCCUGGUGGCUUGUGGGGUUUGUGUGUGUCCUGCAAUCCCUGGGCCCCUCUUGGAGCUGGGAGCUGUAUUGUUCGCCCCCCAGUUCAGCAAGCCAAAAGGAGCCAGCUGGGGCAGUGGGGAGAUUUUAAGCCCUAUCUCUGGGGUGAGAGAGAAGGGCUCAGCUUCCAAGUGCCUCACUGGAAGGGAUCCCAACCAGCUCUGCCUUGCUGGGACAGACCCCUCCUCUCUUUUCCUUCCCACUCAGGGGCUGUAGGGUGCUCGGUCCCUCGUGCUCUGCUUUAUGCUGGGGAGCCAGACAGGACAGCCCAGCAGCUCCCAGCCCCAAACAAUGGGGCCAUUGAGGGCUGGAGCCGGGGGCUCUGCCGACUGUGGGCUGCGGAUGGGGAGGACAGCUGAGCUGUGCUUGUUCCAGCUCAGCAGAGUCACAGCCCAAAAUAGGAGCGGUGUGGCCAUUCGGAGGCUGAGCCUCUUUAUCCAGAGGUCUCAGCUUGUUUGCACGUGGGGUGUGCAUGGAGUAUUUAUGUCUUGGAGUAGGGCUGGGGGGAGGAAAUGAAAGAGGAGGGGCUGGCAGUUGUGCAGACUUGUUUUUGUUUUUGUUUGUUUUCUGUGCUAAAAAGGCAUAGAAGUAUUGGUAUUUUUAUCCCCCCACUUUCCCGUAGGUCCAUACGCUUCCCUGCAGACUGGGAGCCCCAGUGAGGCUAGCAUUGUGGCCCAGUGCUGGAGCACUGAGCAGGCGAAGGGGACAAGCAAUGCACCCAAUAACUGGUGAAGCCAGCAAGCUGUCCCCAUUGUACCCCUCUGCUAUCUCCCUGUGCCAUCCUGGUUCCUAAUCUCAGUCUCCUCUGUGUCCGUGGGCUGAGCGUUGGUGCUCACAGGUAGCAUUUUCCCUUCCUCCCGUGCUGAGCCCCCUCUGAUCUGCUUUCCUGGCACAGCAGUGGGUGCAGACUGGCUCUUGCAGACACCAAGCAUCUGCUGUGCCCAGUGCACCCGAAAAUCGCACCUCUUUUGUAUCUGUGUGGGGAUUUAAGGGCUCAGUGUGAGGUGUCUGAAGAGGUGGUCUCGACUGGAGCCUGUUCUGAAUGGCGCUGCCUGAACGGGGCUGUGCCUGCAUCAGGAGAUGUGCAGAAUUAAUGCAAGGUUUGGAUCAGCUCAUUAACUGCCUGUGCUGGUCCAAAUCUUGCCCUUGGAGGUAUGUGUGUUGCUGCCAGUACCAUCAACAUAAAGACUAUCGCCAGCACAGCCGGGGAUGGGAUUUGGCCUGUUUAUAUUCACGGUGCAAAAAGAGCCGAAGGAUUAAUGACUGAUUACUUCUCGGGCCAGCGGGAGCCUCGGGUACCCAUCUCGCGUGCAGCUAAAGCGCAGGGCAGAGCAAGACAAAGCUUUGCAACAGAAUCCUCCCAAUUACCUCACCGCUCUCCCUGCGUGCUGCAAAAUGCACCGUCAGCUCCGCCAGCCAGUGCUCAGCCUGCAGCCAAACACCUCCUGCAUCGCCGCGUCCCCCUCCGCCCCGCGCUGUCCCCAAUUUGGGAUGGUUUGGUGGAGCCCUGCCUGCUCCCUACCUGCCCCUGUGUGCGUCUGAGCAUCCUUUCGUGCCCCCCCCAGCAGAGCCUGCGCGUUGGAUGCAGUUUCUAUGGUUACUGCAGCUCCUGGGCUCUGGGAAGAGCAGUUGGAUGCUGGAGCUGGCAGGACUGGCAUCUCCCUCUGGAUCAGCCAGAAACUUGACAGGGAUCGGUGUGUGGCAGAGCAGGACAAAGAGAGGAGGGGAGAGGGAACGUGAUGAGAAAAACUCGGCUUGCGCCGGGUACUGGGGUUGCCCCCAACAGGUUGUGCUCUGAACAGGCUUCAAAAAGGAAUAGAAAGGGUGGGGAGAAAAAAAAAAAAAAAAGAGAAAACUGCAGUUCUGGUGCUCGCAUGAAGGUGACAUUUGUUGUAGCAUCUCCAGCCGUUGAUACGGGGAUCUGAACACAAGGAAGUUGUAACUGCUGCCAGACUGACUAUUUCUACCCACAUUUUUCUUUUCCCCAACCCUUUUUUCUUCUUGUUUUAUUCUUGUGAUGCUUUUUAUUCUGAUAUUUCCCUCCCUACCCACACAGGUUUCAUCUUUGCUCCUACAUAUCCCUCUUCUGUGGGUUAGGUUAAAAGUUCAAGGCAUGUUCAGUCCUCACCGCACGCAGGUGCCAGUUGGGAACUGAUGUGACUUUUUAGGAGAGUUUUGCCCAUCAGAGCCUUCUCCUGAUGAUGGAUGCAAGCACUGAACUCUGAGCACAGCAUGUGUAGGUGCAAACCCAGCCUGGUGUAUGAAUCUGCGGUUGGGACCUUCCGUCCUCUCAUCUGCCUUGCCUCAAAUUCAGGUUGGUUAUUAGGGAACAUUUCUUCUCAGAAAGAGCGGUGAGGCACUGGCACAGCUGCCCGGGGAGUGGUGGGGUCACCAUCCUGGAGGAGUUCCAGACCUGUGGGGAUG